GACAAAAAGAACAGUCCAAUGGCAGGAGGUUCCUACUUCGUUUGGAUUCUUCUCCUUCUAACCUGCGUCUUUUAUACUUUGGACAGCAGUCAUGUUCAUCAGGAUCUCAGGACUUUAGCCAGUCAGAGAGGAGAUUCAGAUGUGGCCCAUCUCCCUUCACAACGCCCAUCAAGUCAAGCUUGCACUGACCAGUUCACGUCGCUGAACAGGCAGCUUCAGCAGACAUCUCUCCAAAAAAGCCAGUUAGGUGAAGAAGCCUUUGUGUUGCGGGGGGAGGUCAGACAGCUGAAACUGCAACUUGCCACAUGCAGUGCGACUGCCUCAGCUAUUACCAACUCGUAUCAAACACAACUGCAGUCAAAAUUGAAACAGCAGCUUGAGAUAUUUGACAAUGAUGCAUUUCUAAUUCUGAAAGUCAUGGCGCUCACCAGUGAGGUUAAUGCUUUACAGAAGAAGGUCACACUUGCUGCAAAUUCUACUGAAAUCAGUGAGCUGCAGAGAGAGUUGGAAGAGAAGAGCGCUGAACUGAACGUUAAGAAACAGCAAAUAGAAGAAAACAUCACAAACUCAACUCUCAUUCUUCAGAUAAUCUCACUGCAAAAUCAGAUCUGGGAUUUACAAGAGACACAGUCAAGACGAGCAGAAACUGGCCUUCCGUCUGACAAGAGAAUUCUGGCUCUACAAGAGCAACUGGACAGGAAGAUCAGUGAGCUGCGAGGCUCAGCAGAUGUCAUCUCAGCCAUGCUGGAGCUGAUUUCUGUGCGCCAUAAGAUUAGAGUGUUACAGAGGAGGAUCAGUGUCCACAUUGAGGAAUCCAGAACGAAUGUUGCCGGACGAGUUGGAACGUCUGGAACAGCUGAUGAUGAACGCCACAAAGAUAAGCAAUUCCCAACUUAGAGAGAUGAGAAUUAUUUUGGAGGAAGAAAAGAAACGACAAAUAAUUUUACAGAAACAACUGGAGGAAGAAGAUUAUGCCCAGGCACAGCUCUUCAUGAACAUCAUCAGUAUAAUGGAAGAUGUGAGAGAGCAGCAGCAGACAGCAUCAACUGGUCAAACCAAAUCUCUUUGGGGUCUGCUUCAAGCCAAAGAAAAGGACUAUGCCAAAGCUCAGACUGAAAUAACAGAUCUGCAGAAGAAACUGCAACUGAAAAGUGAGGAGUGUUCUGGAUCUAAGGACAAAUAUGAGCAGGUAAAAACUGAAUAUGAGCAGAAGAUUGCUGAAUUGAACAGAACUGGAGACUCCACAGCAGCACUCAUUCUGGAUGUGGUAAAGCUGCAUGAUGAGGUGAAGGUUUUGAGGGAAGAGAUCUCCAACUCAGAAGACAAAGACGUGAUCUCAGAGCUCCAAAGGCAACUGGAGAAGAAGCAAAAAGAUCUGGACUCCAAGACUGCAGACAUAGAGAGACUGACUGCCAAUCCAAGAAUGG
ensembl:lncRNA